rnacentral:rRNA from 1 species
UACAGAGGGGGCAAGCGUUGUUCGGAAUUACUGGGCGUAAAGGGCGCGUAGGCGGCCUGUUAAGUCGAACGUGAAAUCCCCGGGCUCAACCCGGGAACUGCGUCCGAUACUGGCAGGCUUGAAUUCGGGAGAGGGAUGUGGAAUUCCAGGUGUAGCGGUGAAAUGCGUAGAUAUCUGGAGGAACACCGGUGGCGAAGGCGGCAUCCUGGACCGAUAUUGACGCUGAUUCGCGAAAGCCAGGGGAGCAAACGGG